rnacentral:misc_RNA from 1 species
CAUUUAGAGGAAGUAAAAGUCGUAACAAGGUUUCCGUAGGUGAACCUGCGGAAGGAUCAUUAUCGUACAAACCAGAGGUNGCCAGGGGCUGUCGGCUGACCCUUUCNAGGGUCGUGCACGCCCCCGAUGUGCCGUCCUCGUUCAAAUCCAUCUCACCUUUUGUGCAUCACCGCGUGGGCUCCCUUUUAAAAAAGGGGGGGCUUGCGUUUUUCACACACAAACGCAGAGUAUCGAUUAUGUCUUUUAAACGCAAUCAAUACAACUUUCAACAACGGAUCUCUUGGCUCUCGCAUCGAUGAAGAACGCAGCGAAAUGCGAUACGUAAUGUGAAUUGCAGAAUUCAGUGAAUCAUCGAAUCUUUGAACGCACCUUGCGCCCCUUGGCAUUCCGAGGGGCACACCCGUUUGAGUGUCGUGAAAUCCUCAACCUUCUUCCUUUUCUUUGAAUCGGGGGAAAGGCUUGGACUUUGGAGGCUUUUUGCUGGCCUCUCCCUCUUUUGAAGCCAGCUCCUCUUAAACGAAUUAGCGGGGGUUCCCUUUGCCGAUCCUCGACGUGGAUAAGCUAUUUCUACGUCUUGAGAGGCAGAGACCUGCUUCCAAUCGUCUCGCAGAGGACAAUCGACGAACCCUUUUGACCUCAAAUCGGGUGAGACUACCCGCUGAACUUAAGCAUAUCAAUAAGCGGAGGAAAAGAAACUA